GUGGUGGAGAGCGGUGGCGAGGGAUGUGGCUGGUGGCACUCAGUGAGCUGCUUGUCUCUGAUAAGAGGUUAUCAAGAUGAAAGGGGGAGGCCGGGAAUUACGGGCCUAACACUGUCACCCAGCAGACACAGAGGAACACUGUCACCCAGCAGACACAGAGGAAUAUACACUCUCUGUGCCAGAAAGAAAUCUCCUGGAGAAUCUACACAGUUAUAACGGUAAAAAAAAAUAUAUUACACAAAUGAUUUAGAUUUUUAUUAAUUAACUGAAUAAUGGUCCAUAACUUUUUUAUGUUUGUUGUAAGUAACCAAUUAUAGGCUGGUACCACACCCCAACCGUCAUAAAACACUGACACACCACAACAUAUGUGUGCAAAGAACUCUAAGCAAGGCUAAUUUCAGCACUUGCUUCAUCUGAUACACGAGAGACAGAUAUGCAUGUCCUACAGAGGUCCUGGAAGAGAAGAGCACAGCUUAGUAACAGAUCAUAUUCAUAGAGAUUUGAUUUUUAUAUAUUUUAUUCAGCAAUAGGAAAAUAACAAAUAUAUGUUAACAUUUUUCACUACCAUCUAUUGCCCUUUCUUUGUAGUUCUCCCACUAGUAAAUGUUAUUCUAAAUAUAAAAAUCAGAAUGACAAAGAUUCCUUCUCCUGUUGCAAGUGCUUGAAAUACAUUAAAAUACCUUUACUGUCAAAUCUAUCUUUCCUAUUGGAAAAUGUAAGAUAUUUCUUAUUUGAUACUCUGACUGCUCAUUGUUUUGCAUUAUGAUAAUGAAAUCAAAUGUUGAACAUAUUUAUCAAAAGUAAGAUCAACUCUUGAGUGUAUUAAUAUAUGAUAUAAGAUCUGAAUUGAUCAUGGCAUGGUGGUUAUGGUGGUUAGGGUGACUAUCAUCACACCUUGGAACAGUGAGAGCUGAUAGAACCCUUGCAGGAUUCCUGAAAUCCUUGAGUAGGCCCAUAUCAACUCGGCAAAAAAAGAAACAUCCUCUCACUCUGCGUUUAUUUUCACCAAACUUAACAUGUGUAAAUAUUUGUAUGAACAUAACAAGAUUCAACAACUGAGACAUAAACUGAACAAGUUCCACAGACAUGUGACUAACAGAAAUUGAAUAAUAUGUCCCUGAACAAAGGGGGGUCAAAAUCAAAAGUAACAGUCAGUAACUGGUGUGGCCACCAGCUGCAUUAAGUACUGCAGUGCUUCUCCUCCUCAUGAACUGCACCAGAUUUGCCAGUUAUUUUUGUGAGAUGUUAGCUCACUCUUCCACCAAGGCACCUGCAAGUUCUCUGACAUUUCUGGAGGGAAUGGCCCUAGCAUGCUCAAAGGGAAUUGAGAUCCGGGCUCUUUGCUGGCCAUGAUAGAACACUGACAUUCCUGUCUUGCAGGUAAUCACGCAAACGAGCAGAACGAGCAGUAUGGCUGGUGGCAUUGUCAUGCUGGAGGGUCAUGUCAGGAAGGGUACCACAUGAGGGAGGAGGAUGUCUUCCCUGUAACGCACAGCGUUGAGAUUGCCUGCAAUGACAACAAGCUCAGUCCGAUGAAGCUGUGACACACCGCCCCCAACCCUUGACGGACCCUCCACCUCCAAAUCGAUCCCGCUCCAGAGUACAGGCCUCGGUGUAAACUCUCAUUCAUUCCACGAUAAACACGAAUCCGACCAUCACCCCUGGUGAGACAAAACCGUGACUUGUCAGUGAAGAGCACUUUUUGCCAGUCCUGUCUGGCUCAGUGACGGUAGGCUUGUGCCCAUAGGCAACAUUGUUGCCAGUGAUGUCUGGUGAGGAGCUGCCUUACAACAGGCCUACAAGCCCUCAGUCCAGCCUCUCUCAGCCUAUUGCGGACAGUCUGAGCACUGAUGGAGGGAUUGUGCAUUCCUGGUGUAACUCGGGCAGUUGUUGUUGCCAUCCUGUACUUGUCUCACAGGUGUGAUGUUCGGAUGUACCGAUCCUGUGCAGGUGUUGUUACACAUGGUCUGCCACUGCGAGGACAAUCAGCUGUCCAUCCUGUCUCCGUGUAGCGCUGUUUUAGGCGUCUCACAGUACAGACAUUGCAAUUUAUUGCCCUGGCCACAUCUGCAGUCCUCAUGCCUCCUUGCAGCGUGCCUAAGGCACGUUCACUCAGAUGAGCAGGGACCCUGUGUUUUUCAGAGUCAGUAGAAAGGCCUCUUUAGUGUCCUAAAUUUUCAUAACUGUGACCUUAAUUACCUAUCAUCUGUAAGCUGUUAGUGUCUUAAUGACCGUUCCACAGGUGCAUGUUCAUUAAUUGUUUAUGGUUCAUUUGCACAAGCAUGGGAAACAGUGUUUAAACCCUUUACAGUGAAGAUCUGUGAAGUUAUUUGUAUUUUACGAAUUGUCUUUGAAAGACAGGGUCCUGAAAAAGGGACGUUUAUUUUUUUGCUGAGUUUAUAACAUCAUAUGACCACCCUCUGGUGGUGGAAAUGUUUCAGUAGCCGAGGUUCAUUCAUUUUAAACGGAGUGUCUUCAUUCAAUGGGAAUAAUAAGAUCACUUUCAAAUAAUUGGCUCAGUUGUUGAGGGACUUUCCAAGACGAGCUGGUAGGGGAUUGUGUGCACUGCAGUGAAUGGAAUAUUGAAAUCUCAGGAAAUCUCAGGAAUCUCAGGAAUGUACUAUAGCUUAUAGCUCAGGAAUGUGUUUUAUAGCUUAUUUUUCAAGAAACUUGGCACAAAUUGUUCAAAUCAAUAACCAGCUGAAUAAAUUAAGAACAUUUAUCUGGACAAAAAAGGAGGAUUGUGUUUCGAACAAGGAAAAAUAAUAUGUUGGAAUAUAUUUAAAUAAAAUAUAAAUAUCAAAUCAAAUCAAAUUUAUUUAUAUAGCCCUUCGUACAUCAGCUGAUAUCUCAAAGUGCUGUACAGAAACCCAGCCUAAAACCCCAAACAGCAAGCAAUGCCGGUGUAGAAGCACGGUGGUUAGGAAAAACUCCCUAGAAAGGCCAAAACCUAGGAAGAAACCUAGAGAGGAACUAGGCUUGUGGGGUAGCCAGUCCUCUUCUGGCUGUGCCGGGUAGAGAUUAUAACAGAACAUGGCCAAGAUGUUCAAAUGUUCAUAAAUGACCAGCAUGGUCGAAUAAUAAUAAGGCAGAACAGUUGAAACUGGAGAGAUUAGAUUCACACAGGACACCAAAUUGGACAGGAGAAGUACUCCAGAUAUAACAAACUGACCCCAUAUAUUUAAAUAUAUUAGGAAAGUGUAUUUAGCAAAUAUAUAAAUAAAUAAAAUGUAUGUACAUACAUUUGUAAAAUACACACUCACUGACUCAAUCUCAUAGAAAAUCUGUGGGCAGAACUGAAAAAACAUGUGCGAGCAAGGAGGUCUACACACCUGACUCAGUUACACCAGCUCUGUCAGGAGGAAUGGGUGAAAAUUCAUCCAACUUAUUGUGGGAAGCUUGUGGAAGCCUGCCCGAAAGUUUUGACCCAUGUUAAACAAUUUAAAGGCAAUGCUACCAAAUACUAUUUGAGUGUAUGUAAACUUCUGACCCACUGGGAAUGUGAUGAAAGAAAUAAAAGCUGAAAUAAAUCCUUCUCUCUACUAUUAUUCUGACAUUUCACAUUCUUAAAAUAAAGUGGUGAUCCUAACUGACCGAAAACAGGGAAUUUUUACUAGGAUUAAAUGUGAAAACUGAGUCUUUGGCUGAGGUGUAUGUAAACUUCCGACUUCAACUGUACAUAAAUACACGUACAUCCAUGCUGUUAAAAUACACUGAGUGUACAAAACAUUAGGAACACCUUCCUAAUAUUGAGUUGCACCCCUUUUUGUCCUCGGAACAGCCUCAAUUAAUCCGGGCAUGGAAUCUACAAAGUUUCGAAAGCAUUCCACAGGGAUCCUGGCCCAUGGUGACUCCAAUGCUUCCCACAGUUGUGUCAAGUUGGCUGGAUGUCCUUUGGGUGCUGGACCAUUCUUGAUACACACUGGAAACUGUUGAGCUUGAAAAACCCAGCAGCGUUGCAGUUCUUGACACACUCAAACCAGUGCAUCUGGAACCUACUAACAUACCCCGUUCAAAGGCACUUAAAUCUUUUGUCUUGCCCAUUCACCCUCUGAAUGGCACACAUACACAAUCCAUGUAUGAAUUGUCUCAAGGCUUAAAAAUUCUUCUUUAACCUGUCCUCCCCUUCAUCUACACUAAUUGAAAUGGUGACGUCAAUAAGGGAUCAUAGCGUUCACCUAGAUUCACCUGGUCAGUCUAUGUCAUGGAAAGAGCAGAUGUUUCUAACUCAUGACGUAAUUGGACAAACCUAAGCCUCAUUUGAAAAUAAUACUCAUCGGCAAUUCUGGGUAAGCCCGAAAAAUGAUAUUAGGCAAUACUGGCCAAUGUUAUUACUUUUCAUUAUUUAUAGGUAUUUCAAAGAUGGCGUAGCAGUCGGGUGUCUGUUUUGUUUGUCUUGUCCCGUCCCGUGUAUAUAUCAUUUUCUUUGUAUAUAUUUCGUAAAUAUUUUUUCGGUUUUUAAUCUUAAUUUCCAUCAACGGACUGAACAUACUCUCCUGCAACCCGCCUUACCCAAUGUUGUAUGGAUCUGCUAUUUUUUUAUACUUCAGAACCGGAAUCCUCAUCAGAAGCUAGCCAGCUAACUAGCUACUAGCUAGUAGUCAGUUAGCCACUGCUAGCGGUCAUCACUGUUAUCAGCCAGCCUCAGCCCGGUCAAUUCCUGCCAGUCUGCACAACGCGAAAUCAACCCAGAGCAUAUUGGACUCCUUUUUCUCCACCAAAUCUCCGGAUUACUACUGCAAGCUUUGCACCUUUACUCCGGAUCAUCGUAGCUAGCUUGCUGCUAUCCGAGUGGCUAUUCCUGGCUAAAGUCUCUGUCCCGAAGCAAGCAUCAGUUAGCUGGAGCUAGCCUCGAGCUAGACCCAUCUCCCGGCUAGCCCGAAGAGAUCCAUCAGACAAUUCCUGGGUUUCAAUACAUCUUUUGCCAAUUGGCCUGGACCAUUAGCUGCCAACACGGAGCCCCGCAGAUCCAUCACGACUGGUCUGCCGACGUAAUCCGUCCAAGGAGGUUUCAACAGGCUCUUCCGUUGCGACGUCCCCCUGAGGCCCAACUGCUAGCCUGCUAUCCCGGCCUGAUAGCUGUCUGAAUUGCCGUGUCUCCAACUCACCGAGCUACUCACUGGACCCAAUGAUCACUUGGCUACAAAUGCCUCUCCCUAAUGUCAAUAUGCCUUGUCUAUUGCUGUUUGGUUAGGUAUUUUUGUCUGAUUUCACUGUAGAACCUCCAGCCCUGUUCAGUAUGCCUUAGCUAGCCCUUUUGUUCCACCCCCCCACACAUGUGGUGCCCUCACCUGGCUUAAAUGGUGCCUCUAGAGACCAAACCUCUCUCAUCAUCACUCAAUGUCUAGGUUUACCUCCACUGUACUUACAUCCUACAAUAUCCUUGUCUGUACAUUAUGCCUUGAAUAUAUUCUUCCACACCCAGAAAUCUGCUCCUUUAACUCUCUGUUCCCAAUGCACUAGAUGACCAGUUCUUAUAGCCUUUAGCCAUAUUCUUAUCCUACUCCUCCUCUGUUCCUAUGGUGAUGUAGAGGUUAACCCAGGCCCUGCAGCCCCCAGCAUCACUCCCAUUCCUCAGAUGCUCUCAUUUGUUGACUUCUGUAACCGUAAAAGCCUUGGUUUCAUGCAUGUUAACAUUAGAAACCUCCUCUCUGAGUUUGUUUUAUUCACUGCUUGAGCACACUCUGCCAACCCAGAUGUCCUAGCCAUGUCUGAAUCCUGUCUCAGGAAGGCCACCUAAUAUCCUGAAAUUUCCAUCCCUAACUAUAGCAUUUUCCAACAAGAUAGAAUUGCCAAAGGGGCAGAGUUGCAAUCCACUGCAGAGAUAGCCUGCAAAGUUCUGUCAAACUAUCCAGGUCUGUGCCCAAACAAUUAGAGCUUCUACUUUUAAAAAUCCACCUUUCCAGAAAGAAGUCUCUCACCAUUGCCAGUUGUUAUAGACCCCCUUCAGCCCCCAGCUGUGCCCUGGACACCAUAUGUGAAUUGAUCGCCCCAUCUAUCGUCAGAGCUCACACUGUUUGGUUACCUAAACUGGGACAUGCUUAACACCGUGGCUGUCCUACAAUCUAAGCGAGAUGCCCUCAAUCUCAUACAAAUUAUCAAGGAACCUACCAGGUACAACCCUAAAUCCGUAACCAUGGGCACCCUCUUAGAUAUCAUCCUGACCAACUUUCCCUCCAAAUACACCUCUGCUGUCUUCAACCAGGAUCUCAGCGAUCCCUGCCUCAACGAAUGUGUGCGUAAUGGGUCCACGGUCAAACGACCACCCCUCAUCACUGACAAACGCUCCCUCAAACACUUCAGCGAGCACGCCUUUCUAAUCGACCUGGCCCGAGUAUCCUGGAAGGAUAUUGACUUCAUCCCAUCAGUAGAGGAUGCCUGGUUGCUUUUUAAAACUGCUUUCCUCACCAUUUUAAAUAAGCAUGCCCCAUUAAAAAAAAUGUAGAACUAAGAACAGAUAUAGCCCUUGGUUCACCCCAGACUUGAUUGCCCUUGACCAGGCACAAAAACAUCCUGUGGUGUUCUGCAUUAGCAUCAAAUAUCCCCUGCGAUAGGCAACUUUUCAGAGAAGUCAGGAACCAAUAUACUCAGUCAGUUAGGAAAGCUAAGGCUAGCUUUUUCAAAUAGAAAUUUGAUUCCUGCAGCACUAAUUCCAAAACGUUUUGGGACACUGUAAAGUCCAUGGAGAAUAAGAGCACCUCAUCCCAGCUGCCCACUGUACUGAGGAUAGGAAACACUAUCACCACCGAUAAAUGUAUGAUAAUUGAUAAUUUCAAUAAGCAUUUAUCUACGGCUGGCCAUGGCUACCCCUACCCUGGCCAACAUCUCAACACCCCCUGUAGAAACCUGCGCAACCCCCCCCCCCGCUUCUCCUUCACCCAAAUCCAGACAACUGGUGUUCUGAAAGAGCUGCAAAAUCUGGUUCCCUACAAAUCAGCCGGGCUAAACAAUCUGGACCCUCCCUUUCUAAAAUUAUCCACAGAAAUUGUUGCAUCCCCUAGUACUAGCCUGUUCAAACUCUUUCGUAUCGUCUGUGGUCCCCAAAGAUUGGAAAGCUGCCAUGGUCAUCCUCCUCUUCAAAGGGGUGACAUUUUAGACCCAAACUGUUAUAGACCUAUAUUCAUCCUACCCUGUCUUUCGAAAGCCAAGUUAACAAACAGAUCACCCACCAUUUCGAAUCCCACCGUACCUUCUCCGCUAUGCAAUCUGGUUUCAGAGCAGGUCAUGGGUGCACGUCAGCCACGCUCAAGGUCCUAAACGACAUCAUAACAGCCAUCGAUAAGAGACAUUACUGUGCAGCCGUAUUCAUCGACCUGGCCAAGGCUUUCGACUCUGAGAUCUUUGUGGGCUAUACUCAGCCUUGUCUCAGGAUGGACCUGAGCCCUAGGACCAUGCCCCAAGACUACCUGACAUGAUGACUCCUUGCUGUCCCCAGUCCACCUGGCCGUGCUGCUGCUCCAGUUUCAACUGUUCUGCCUUAUUAUUUUUCGACCAUGCUGGUAAUUUAUGAACAUUUGAACAUCUUGGCCAUGUUCUGUUAUAAUCUCUACCCGGCACAGCCAGAAGAGGACUGGCCUCCCCACAUAGCCUGGUUCCUCUCUAGGUUUCUUCCUAGGUUUUGGCCUUUCUAGGGAGUUUUUCCUAACCACCGUGCUUCUACACCUGCAUUGCUUGCUGUUUGGGGUUUUAGGCUGGGUUUCUGUACAGCACUUUGAGAUAUCAGCUGAUGUACGAAGGGCUAUAUAAAUAAAUUUUGAUUUGAUUUGAUUUGUCAAUCACAACAUUCUUAUUGGCAGACUCGACAGCCUUGGUUUCUCAAAUGAUUGCCCCGCCUGGUUUACCAACUACUUCUCUGAUAGAGUCCAGUGUGUCAAAUCGGAGGGCUUGUUGUCCGGAUCUCUGGCUGUCUCUAUGGGGGUGCCACAGGGUUCAAUCCUCAGGCCGACUCUCUUCUCUAUACACAUCAAUGAUGUUGCUCUUGCUGCUGGUGAGUCUCUGAUCCACCUCUACGCAGGUGACACCAUUCUGUAUACUUCUGGCCCCUCUUUGGACACUGUGUUAACUAACCUCCAGACGAUCUUCAAUGCCAUACAACUCUCCUUCAGUGGCCUCCAACUGCUCUUAAACGCAGGGAAAACAAAAUGCAUGCUAUUCAACCGAUCACUGCCCGUACCUGCUCACCUGUCCAGCAUCAUUACUCUGGACGGCUCUGACUUAGAAUACGUGGACAACUACAAAUACCUAGGUGUCUGGUUAGACUGUAAACUCUCCUUCCAGACUCACAUUAUGCAUCUCUAAUCCAAAAUUAAAUCUAGAAUUGGCUUCCUAUAUCGCAACAAAGCAUCCUUCACUCAUGCUGCCAAACAUACCCGCAUAAAACUGACCAUCCUACCGAUCCUCGACUUCGGUGUUGUCAUCUAUAAAAUAGCCUCCAACACUCUACUCAACAAACUGGAUGCAGUCUAUCACAGUGCCAUCUGUUUUGUCACCAAAGCCCCAUACAAUACCCACCAUUGCGACCUGUACGCUGUCGUUGGUUGGCCCUUGCUUCAUACGCGUCGCCAAACCCACUGGCUACAGGUUAUCUACAAGUCUCUGCUAGGUAAAGCCCCGCCUUAUCUCAGCUCACUGGACACCAUAGCAGCACCCACUCGUAGCACGUGUUCCAGCAGGUAUAUCUCACUGGUCACCCCCAAAGCCAAUUCCUCCUUUGGUCAUCUUUCCUUCCAGUUGUCUGCUGCCAAUGACUGGAACGAACUGCAAAUAUCUCUGAAGCUGGAGACUCAUAUCUCCCUCACUAGCUUUAAACACCAGCUGUCAGAGCAGCUCACAGAUCAUUGCACCUGAACAUAGCCCAUCUAUAAACAGCCCAUCCAUUCACCUACCUCAUCCCCAUACAGUAUUUAUUUAUUUAUUUAUCUUGUUCCUUUGCACCCCAGUAUCUCUACUUGCACAUUCAUCUUCUGCACAUCUACCAUUUAAGUGUUUAUUUGCUAUAUUGUAAUUACUUCACCACCAUGGCCUAUUUAUUGCCUUAACUCCCUUAU